UACGUAGGGGGCUAGCGUUGUCCGGAAUCAUUGGGCGUAAAGAGCGCGUAGGCGGCCAGAUAAGUCCGGUGUGAAAGUCACAGGCUCAACCUGUGAAUGCCGCUGGAAACUGUCUGGCUAGAGUCCGGGAGGGGCGAGUGGAAUUCCUGGUGUAGCGGUGAAAUGCGCAGAUAUCAGGAGGAACACCAGUGGCGAAGGCGACUACCUGGCCUGUUCUUGACGCUGAGGCGCGAAAGCUAGGGGAGCAAACGGG
rnacentral:rRNA from 1 species